AUGAGCGGCAACAUCACGCAGGACUGGGAGCCGGUGGUCCUGCGGCGGGCGAAGCCCAAGGCGGCCGACCUCAAGUCCGCCAAGGCGGUGAACCAGGCGCUGCGGACGGGCGCGCCGGUGGAGACGGUGCGCAAGGUGGCGGCGGGCACGAACAAGAAGGCCUCCGCCGCGGCCGUGGCGGCGCCCGCGAGGAAGCUGGACGAGAUGACGGAGCCGGCGGGGCUGGAGCGCGUGGGCGGCGACGUGCGGGCGGCCAUCCAGAAGGCGCGCGUGGCCAAAGGGUGGAGCCAGGCGGAGCUGGCCAAGCGCAUCAGCGAGCGGGCGCAGGUGGUGCAGGAGUACGAGAGCGGCAAGGCCGUCCCCGUCCAGGCCGUGCUCGCCAAGAUGGAGCGCGCGCUCGAGGUCAAGCUCCGGGGCAAGGCGGUUGGGGCGCCCGCGCCCGCCGGAACGAAGUGA
rnacentral:rRNA from 1 species